UACAGAGGGGGCAAGCGUUGUUCGGAAUUACUGGGCGUAAAGGGCGCGUAGGCGGCCUUCUAAGUCGAACGUGAAAUCCCUGGGCUCAACCCAGGAACUGCGUCCGAUACUGGAAGGCUUGAAUCCGGGAGAGGGAUGCGGAAUUCCAGGUGUAGCGGUGAAAUGCGUAGAUAUCAGGAGGAACACCGGUGGCGAAGGCGGCCCUCUGGACGGUGACUGACGCUGAGACGCGAAAGCGUGGGGAGCAAACAGG
rnacentral:rRNA from 1 species